AGGAACCGUACCCCAAACCGACACAGGUGGUUGGGUAGAGAAUACCAAGGCGCUUGAGAGAACUCGGGUGAAGGAACUAGGCAAAAUGGCACCGUAACUUCGGGAGAAGGUGCGCCGGUGAGGGUGAAGGACUUGCUCCGUAAGCCCACGCCGGUCGAAGAUACCAGGCCGCUGCGACUGUUUAUUAAAAACACAGCACUCUGCAAACACGAAAGUGGACGUAUAGGGUGUGACGCCUGCCCGGUGCCGGAAGGUUAAUUGAUGGGGUUAGCUAACGCGAAGCUCUUGAUCGAAGCCCCGGUAAACGGCGGCCGUAACAAUAACGGUCCUAAGGUAGCGAAAUUCCUUGUCGGGUAAGUUCCGACCUGCACGAAUGGCGUAACGAUGGCGGCGCUGUCUCCACCCGAGACUCAGUGAAAUUGAAAUCGCUGUGAAGAUGCAGUGUAUCCGCGGCUAGACGGAAAGACCCCGUGAACCUUUACUAUAGCUUUGCACUGGACUUUGAAUUUGCUUGUGUAGGAUAGGUGGGAGGCUUUGAAGCGUGGACGCCAGUUCGCGUGGAGCCAACCUUGAAAUACCACCCUGGCAACUUUGAGGUUCUAACUCAGGUCCGUUAUCCGGAUCGAGGACAGUGUAUGGUGGGUAGUUUGACUGGGGCGGUCUCCUCCUAAAGAGUAACGGAGGAGUACGAAGGUGCGCUCAGACCGGUCGGAAAUCGGUCGUAGAGUAUAAAGGCAAAAGCGCGCUUGACUGCGAGACAGACACGUCGAGCAGGUACGAAAGUAGGUCUUAGUGAUCCGGUGGUUCUGUAUGGAAGGGCCAUCGCUCAACGGAUAAAAGGUACUCCGGGGAUAACAGGCUGAUACCGCCCAAGAGUUCAUAUCGACGGCGGUGUUUGGCACCUCGAUGUCGGCUCAUCACAUCCUGGGGCUGAAGCCGGUCCCAAGGGUAUGGCUGUUCGCCAUUUAAAGUGGUACGCGAGCUGGGUUUAGAACGUCGUGAGACAGUUCGGUCCCUAUCUGCCGUGGACGUUUGAGAUUUGAGAGGGGCUGCUCCUAGUACGAGAGGACCGGAGUGGACGAACCUCUGGUGUUCCGGUUGUCACGCCAGUGGCAUUGCCGGGUAGCUAUGUUCGGAAUAGAUAACCGCUGAAAGCAUCUAAGCGGGAAACUAGCCUCAAGAUGAGAUCUCACUGGGACCUUGAGUCCCCUGAAGGGCCGUCGAAGACUACGACGUUGAUAGGUUGGGUGUGUAAGCGCUGUGAGGCGUUGAGCUAACCAAUACUAAUUGCCCGUGCGG
rnacentral:rRNA from 1 species